UCCCCCUAAUCCUCUAGUGGCUGUCUCAUUGACAGCCACUAGAGGCGCUUGCGUGCUUCUCACUGUGAUUUUCACAGUGAGAGCACGCCAGCGUCCAUAGGAAAGCAUUAUGAAUGCUUUCCUAUGUGACCGGCUGAAUGCGCGCGCAGCUCUUGCCGCGCGUGCGCAUUCAGCCGGCGGGGAGGAGAGAAGGAGGAUCGGAGGAGGAGAGCUCUCCGCCCAGCGCUGGAAAAAGGUAAGUUUUAACCCCUUUCCCCCUUCCAGAGCCGGGCGGGAGGGGGUCCCUGAGGGUGGGGGCACCCUCAGGGCACU
rnacentral:lncRNA from 1 species